AUUGAACGCUGGCGGCAGGCCUAACACCUGCAAGUCGAGCGAGCGGCGGACGGGUGAGUAAUGUAUGGGGACUGCCCGAUAGACGGGGUUAACUACUGGAAACGGUGGCUAAUACCGCAUACUAUCGGAUAACCCAUAUGGGAUUAGCUAGUAGGUGGGGUAAUUGCUCACCUAGGCGACGAUCCCUAGCUGGUCUGUGAGGAUGACUCGACAAACUGGAACUGAGACACGGUCCAGACUCCUACGGAGGCAGCAGUGGGGAAUAUUGAACAAUGGGCGCAACCCUGACGCAGCCAUGCCGCGUGUAUGAAGGAGGCCCUAGGGUUGUAAAGUACUUUCAGUCGGGAGGCGUUUCCGACAGAAGAAGCACCGGCUAACUCCGUGCCAGCAGCCGCGGUAAUAC
rnacentral:rRNA from 1 species